UAUUAGAUUGGUGCAAAAGUAAUUGCAGUUUUUGCCAUUUCUUUUCAAAGGCAAAAACCGCAAUUACUUUUGCACCAAUCUAAUAUUUA
ensembl:miRNA